rnacentral:tRNA from 1 species
GCUCCCUUCGUCUAGCGGUCCAGGACAUUGCCCUCUCAAGGCGAAAACAGGGGUUCGAGUCCCCUAGGGAGCGCCA